GAUGAACGCUGGCUACAGGCUUAACACAUGCAAGUCGAGGGGAAACGACGGGGAGGCUUGCUUCCCCGGGCGUCGACCGGCGCACGGGUGAGUAACGCGUAUCCAACCUGCCUCUGACUGAGGGAUAACCCGUCGAAAGUCGGCCUAAUACCUCAUGGCAUCGUCUGCGGGCAUCCAACGACGAUUAAAGAUUUCAUCGGUCAGGGAUGGGGAUGCGUCUGAUUAGCUUGUUGGCGGGGUAACGGCCCACCAAGGCUACGAUCAGUAGGGGUUCUGAGAGGAAGGUCCCCCACAUUGGAACUGAGACACGGUCCAAACUCCUACGGGAGGCAGCAGUGAGGAAUAUUGGUCAAUGGGCGGGAGCCUGAACCAGCCAAGUAGCGUGCAGGAUGACGGCCCUAUGGGUUGUAAACUGCUUUUAUGCGGGGAUAAAGUGAGGGACGUGUCCUUCAUUGCAGGUACCGCAUGAAUAGGGACCGGCUAAUUCCGUG
rnacentral:rRNA from 1 species